GUAUUUUAUUUACAGACAGGGUCUCACUGAGUUGCUUAGCGCCUCCCCAAAUUGCUGAGGCUGGCUUUGAACUCACCGUCUUCCUGCCUCAGCCUCCCAAGCUUCUGGGAUUACAGGCGUGCGCCACCAAGCUCGGCCAAGAAGAGCUUUUGAAACCAAUUGUCUGAUGGAUACACUCUAGAUGGACUGUGAUCACACAUCAGGUCGGUGACUACUACUGAAGAAGAAAUCCGUGGUUCAGAAAGAAGUGCCUGUGACUGAUGCCAUGUGUAAGCCCUGUUUAUAGCUUCAUACUAUGUCCAAAUUAUUGCAUUUAGAAAACGUGUGUAUUUUCAGAUUACUUACUUACAGUUUUGACAUGUUCACUGAAGAAAAAGAAAUGUCAAAACUGUAAGUAAGGCAAGAGGGCUGGGGAUGUGGCUCAAGCGGUAGCGCGCUUGCCUGGCAUGCGUGCGG
rnacentral:lncRNA from 1 species